GAUGAAGAACGUAGCGAAAUGCGAUAAGUAAUGUGAAUUGCAGAAUUCAGUGAAUCGUCGAAUCUUUGAACGCACAUUGCGCCCGCUGGUAUUCCGGCGGGCAUGCCUGUUCGAGCGUCAUUUCAACCCUCAAGCUCUCCGGAGUUUGGUGUUGGGGCGCCUGGGGCUUUUCGACCUCAGGGCCCUCAAGUCCAUCGGCGGGACCGCCAGGACACUGAGCGCAGUAGUAUUAUUUCGCUCGGUAGGAUCUUCCACGGCGGGUCGAUCUGGCCGCUAAACCCCCCAAUUCUCACCAAAGGUUGACCUCGGAUCAGGUAGGAAUACCCGCUGAACUUAAGCAUAUCAAUAAGCGGAGGA
rnacentral:misc_RNA from 1 species